rnacentral:lncRNA from 1 species
AAGGGGAAGCAGGCACGUCUUAUAUGGCAGCAGGCAGGUUAUGGGGGGCAGAGAGAGAGAGAGAGACAGCACGAGACCACGUGGGUGAGUGUAGGAAAAACUACCAUUUGUAAAACCAUCAGAUCUUGUGAGAAUUCACUCCCUAUCAUGAGAACAGUGUGGAAGAAACCGUUCUCAUAAUCCAGUCACUUCCCUCCCUCAACUUGUGGGGAUUACAAUUUGAGAUGAGAUUUGGGUGGGGACACAGAGUCAAACCAUAUCAGUAAGUGACUAUUUAAAUAGUAAAUAUUGAAAAAUAGUAAUUAUAAAGAGAAUAUUACAGAGGUUAGUUAGUGAAUAUGUAUUUGGGUGAGGAUUUGUAGUUUUGUGACCUUUAAAUUCAUGCUGCUUACACUGGUCUUAUUUUUUUUUUUGCCUAUUUUAAAUGAAACUUCAUGGUUAAAGCCAGUUUUUUUUUAAUGGAAAAUUAAUUUUGAUACAACUUAGGACUCUAGUUGUGAUAUAUUCAUGUAGAAAAAUAUUAAGUUCUGACUGAUUUUAGGUGAAGUUGGAAUGAAAGAUUCCACUGUGAAAAUAAAUUUUGGUCUAAUUACUUCAAUUUCCCUUUUCUUAAUAAUUUCACUAAUACUGUAAUGAUUUGUAGUUGGGCUGGAUGGAAUUUUAGGAUCUUUCUAAGCUUCUUCCAAUAACUUAAUCGUAAAUGUAGCAUAUAAAUAUUUUAGGACAUACUGAUAAGUGGUUUGAAAAAAAUGAAAACCACUGUGAACCCCUCACCAGUAAGUAACUACUUUUCAUCUUUGUUAUAUAUUCCUUUACUCUUUUUCUUUGUAUGUUACAGGGAGAUAGUAAAAAUGUUUAGAGAUUGGUAGGACACAGGGCACUAACCAGACAGUGGACUUAAUUAGCAGAUUGGCUGAAUUAGAAUGUACUGGUUGAAUAUUAGUUCCAUUUAAGUAAAUGUAGGUGUGUGUAAAUUUAAUUUUGUUUAAAAACUCAGUAAAUAUAUUUGCUUUUCCUUUGUGAGCCUUUUCAUGUAAUAGAUUUGGUUCAUGACUUUAAAAAAUCAACUUCUUGGUGUUGUAGUUACUGGAGUUUAGAAUUUUUGGAUUGCUUCCACUUUUCUGCUUUUAAGAAGUAGGAUAAACAUCUUUGCACUUAUGUCUUGUGGACUUGUUUCUAUUAUUUUCUUAGGAUAAAUUCCUUAAUAAGGAAUUACUGGGUUAAAGAAUAUGUACAGUUUUCAGGCUGUAGGGAUGCCUUACUGCAUUGCCCACCAGAAAAGCUAGGUUGUGUCUUGCUGAGAUUUCUUGCUGUAACAUGGCUGGACCCCUUCCCUCAAUAGUUCCUCUUUAGGAGACCACUAAUAUUGUUUGUCUAAGCAAAGGAGAAAUUAAAUGGCUGGUAUCUACAUUUUGAAAAAGAAUAACUUUAUUAUUGACUCACUUAUUUAGCAAAUGAGUGCCUGAUUACAGUAGAAGCACCAUAGGAGCUUUUGUAAAAAUAAAAAGGGUUUACAGUUUGAUUGAAUAGGUGUAGGUCUGGAUGAAUGAGGCCAAUAUCUUUUUUUUUUUUUUUUUUUUUUAAACAAAGUUCAGCAUUAUGGGUUGAGGACUAUGAAGAAAGGUGUUGACAAAAUAAAUGCCCUGGUGACCACACAACAUCUUAACCAAGUGAUUAAAGCUAACAUCAACAGUAAGAUUGCUCCAGAUUUGAUGCUUUGAGGAUGCAUUGCUUAUAUAGUACCACAUCCAAAAUGUACAGCCUGCAAUCUAAUUGUGAGAAAACCUUGGACAAACCCUAGUUGGGACCAUUCUGUAAAACAAUUGGCCUACCUUCUUAAAAAAUGUCAGUGACAUGAGAGACAAAGCAAA